rnacentral:sRNA from 1 species
UGCUGACCAGGUUGCUAUUCUGGAAGCGGCAUUUCUGCCGCUACAAGAAGACACUCAAGAAUUGGGCUGGGAAGAAACGGUGGAUGCCGCCAUUUCCCACCUGUUGAAGACUUGCCUGUCGAAGAGUUCUAAGGAGCAGGCUUUGAACCUCAACAGCCAGCUGAACAUACCCAAAGACACAAGCCAACUGAAGAAACAUAUCACCUUGCUCUGCGAUAGAUUAGCCAAAGGUGGCCGUCUCUGCCUAAGUACCGAUGCAGCAGCCCCACAGACCAUGGUCAUGCCAGGUAAGAGCUCUGUCCAUGCUCCCUAAACACAAUUGUACUUCUCCUAAAUUAAAGGAAUGUGCCUGUGGUUGUAUUUGGGGUUUAAAUUUCAUAUUAAAGUGACGACAGCCAAGAAAAUUGAUUUCACGUUUCCCCUCUGACAUCCCAGGGUAACCCCUUGAAUAAAUAUUCUUGAGAUAUUUGCUUGCUAGACA